UCAACUGUGAACAAUUCCCAUUAAUCCCUCUUCCUUUCUUCAAUCAAAACUCAAACUUUCCUCUUCUUUGAGCAGAAGAAUCCAGAUCAUGAAAGGAUCGGAGAUUUCCCAUCACAACAAAUCCUGGGUUGAAGACAUUUAUUGGAACCAUUUUCAGUUCCUCCAUUUCGUAUAGUUUAUGUCCAACACUUAUAAUCAGCACCUUACACUUCCCAAAGCAUUUUAUGGUGGCUGGAAACAGUUUGUGAAAGAUCAUUCCUGAACCUCGAGAUCUCAGAAUCCGAAAGGGAUUUGUGAAGGUGAACCGUUUUGGACAUGACAUUAGCUACUUCAAAAGAAAGAAUGUCAAUGGUUACCUUAUCGUUGUUCUUGAUGGUGCUGCUAUGUUGCUACUGCUUCCUCUUUCCCGAAGAAGUUUCUAGAAGAAGGGCGUGGAGAGAGGACCAAAACAGUGUCGUUUUUGGAGAGUGUGAAGAGGGAUGUAAGGUUGGCAGCUAGGGUUUCCGAACGGCGGAUAAAAUCGGCGUAGGAAAGGUGGCGGUUGGUGGCAGAGUCGAUGAGAGCGUUGACGAAGUCAGACUAAGGUGAGUUGCGAUAGAGAGAGAGAGAGAGAGAGAACGUAUGAUGGCCACAAGGACUAAUUUGUCCAUUAAAAAUUUGUUCUCCAUCCACAUAUGCAACCAAAACGGACACCUACACUCUACUCUUCCAGGUCAGCAUGUUCCGUUGCCGUUUUGAACUCCAACUUGACAGAGGGGUCUAAUUGCCACGUGUUUUACAAUGUGAGGGAUUUAAAUAUAUUUUUAAAUCUUGAGGGACAAAAAUGUCCGAGUUUAAAAAGGUCAGGGACCUAUUUGUCUUUUACUUUUAAAUACCAUACAUAACAACAAUAUUUUAGUAGUUCUUGAAUCAAGUUAAAGGGGAAGUAUAUAUUAUAAAGAAGGUUGGCCUCGGCGCAAUGCUAAGGUGCCUUUUGAACUUUUAAGUUACGAAAUCCAUGGCCGGCGCAGCUCAUGACGAAAAGGAAUUUGAUUCUGAAAAUUCAGCUAGAAAGAGGUGUUUAUAACUAAAAUUUGUUUCAUAUGAAUUGAAACUAAGUUUUAAUCCUAUUCAUAUCACAGUGAUCAGACAAGGAACAAUAGCAAGGUUUGAUUACAUGAACAUAGAU